rnacentral:rRNA from 1 species
UACGGAGGGAGCAAGCGUUACUCGGAAUUAUUGGGCGUAAAGGGCGCGUAGGCGAUUUGACAAGUCUUGUGUGAAAGCCCCGGGCUUAACCCGGGAAGUGCACAAGAAACUGUUGAAUUUGAGUUCCGGAGAGGAAGGCAGAAUUCCCGGUGUAGCGGUGAAAUGCGUAGAUAUCGGGAGGAAUACCAGUGGCGAAGGCGGCCUUCUGGACCGGUUCUGACGCUGAGGCGCGAAAGCGUGGGGAGCAAACGGG